GGUGGGGUACCGAAGCGGCCGAACGGGCUCGCCUCGAAAGCGAGUGAGGGUUCGCGCCCUCCGUGGGUUCAAAUCCCACCCCCACCG
rnacentral:tRNA from 1 species